rnacentral:rRNA from 1 species
CCCGCGGCAAGACGGAAAGACCCCGUGAACCUUUACUAUAGCUUGACACUGAACAUUGAGCCUUGAUGUGUAGGAUAGGUGGGAGGCUUUGAAGUGUGGACGCCAGUCUGCAUGGAGCCGACCUUGAAAUACCACCCUUUAAUGUUUGAUGUUCUAACGUGGACCCGUAAUCCGGGUUGCGGACAGUGUCUGGUGGGUAGUUUGACUGGGGCGGUCUCCUCCUAAAGAGUAACGGAGGAGCACGAAGGUUGGCUAAUCCUGGUCGGACAUCAGGAGGUUAGUGCAAUGGCAUAAGCCAGCUUGACUGCGAGCGUGACGGCGCGAGCAGGUGCGAAAGCAGGUCAUAGUGAUCCGGUGGUUCUGAAUGGAAGGGCCAUCGCUCAACGGAUAAAAGGUACUCCGGGGAUAACAGGCUGAUACCGCCCAAGAGUUCAUAUCGACGGCGGUGUUUGGCACCUCGAUGUCGGCUCAUCACAUCCUGGGGCUGAAGUAGGUCCCAAGGGUAUGGCUGUUCGCCAUUUAAAGUGGUACGCGAGCUGGGUUUAGAACGUCGUGAGACAGUUCGGUCCCUAUCUGCCGUGGGCGCUGGAGAACUGAGGGGGGCUGCUCCUAGUACGAGAGGACCGGAGUGGACGCAUCACUGGUGUUCGGGUUGUCAUGCCAAUGGCACUGCCCGGUAGCUAAAUGCGGAAGAGAUAAGUGCUGAAAGCAUCUAAGCACGAAACUUGCCCCGAGAUGAGUUCUCCCUGAGACUUAGAGUCUCCUGAAGGAACGUUGAAGACGACGACGUUGAUAGGCCGGGUGUGUAAGCGCAGCGAUGCGUUGAGCUAACCGGUACUAAUGAACCGUGAGGCUUAACCUUACAA